rnacentral:piRNA from 1 species
UCCAGGCGCUUUGGCUAUUUGAAAACUGGG